AGAAUGAGUGAAAUCUCCCUCUUUUCAGCGUUUACGAUGAGAAGCACUCGGGCAAUUGGAUGUCCUGUGAUCGAUGUAGCCUCUUCUCUUAUCGUUAGGACUGCUCUUAACAGAUUAACUGCCCCCCUCCCAAACAUGCAGUCUUUUUCUCCUCCUUUCUCACUGCUCCUCCUUCUGGCUGUCACACACCCACAGUCUUUUUCAGAAGAUACAACAGGAGACUUGUCUCUCUGAUUUUCUUUUUCUUAAAUCUAUUUUUUUAAUGUCCACCUUUUCUGACACUCAUCUUGCGACGUUUAGGUAGAUUUGGUCUGGAUUUGUUUGAACUGAUUUGACCACCUGGCAGACGGACAGAAAUGAAGAAGACUAAACUUAAGUUGAAGUUCUGGUAGUAAGAUAGUAAAUGAAGAUGGAUCUGGUGAUUGCCUUUCUUCUGCUCUUUUGUGUUCAUCCAUCUGCAGGAGCAAGCCUCAUCACAGCAGACAUAUUUGAAGCGAGGGAAUUUUUGCCUGCCCUUGUUAUUUCCUUCUACCCUUUUUCCACUUCGCAUUUUUCUACUUCAUAUUAUUUUUUUCCACUUCGUCCAUCUGACCGCAGCCGUUAAUGUUAAAACAAUGACAGGGAGGG